AUGGGGAGACUGGCUGGGCUAAGACAGGAAGGACCCCUUCAGGAUGUGCAUUAUGGCUGUGCUGACUGGACCCCGCUGACCUACAGUGAUGACAAGGGGCCCCAUUGUGGGUGGAACUGUGGCGCCUCAGGGUUCCACCGCUGCCUGGUGCUUACUCUGCGUCCGCAGGCAGGUGGAGGCACUCGUGCUCCGGAUCUGGCUCACAGCGCCCGAACUAUCCCACUCUCCCCAGUACCCCAGUGUAUAAAGUGUGAGUGCUCACACAGUGACAGGCCACAGGUGAGUGGGAGCUGCUCCCUGCUCCCCUCGGGCCACCGUGGGACCUGUGGGUCCGGGUGGGGGUGCUGGCCUCCGGGGCUGGGGUGAGAACACAGCGACCCCCAUGUGAUGAGAACAUGUUCUCAUUUUAUAAAGGAGACAUACAAUAAACCAGUAAAUAAUGAUAUGAACAAUUAACUCUAGAAGGAAAUACAUGACACAAUAAGUAUGAAGAAACUAUUCUAGAGAAGAGUGGUACUGACAACCUCUCCAAAGAAGCGCUAUUUGAGAGUGAGAGUGAAGUUUGAGAGAGAGUAGACCUUUGAAG
rnacentral:lncRNA from 1 species